AGCUUUGCACAGUGAUAGGAUCAUAGCCAAUGAGGCACACUUAGUGCUAACUGAAAACUUUUCCUAAUACCCUGGCAUUGGCAAUUUUUGAUAGUCUCUGUGGAGA
rnacentral:snRNA from 1 species